rnacentral:RNase_P_RNA from 1 species
GACCGGUUUGUCGCUCGCAUGCAUAUGCGGGAGGAAAGUCCGGGCAACACAGAGCGCCAUACUUCUUAACGGGAAGCUAUUCGUGAGGGUAGAGUAACGUAACAGAAAAGAACCGCCGUCUUUCGGGACGGUAAGGGUGAAAAGGUGGGGUAAGAGCCUACCGGGCGUCAUAGCAAUAUGGUGUGCCGUACGUCUUAUGGGUUGUAAGGUCAUGUAUACCGGCGUUGUAGGGUGGCUCGCUCUAUGCCGGGGGGUAGACCGCUGGAACCUUGUGGCGACACAAGGUCGAGAUAAAUGACAAACACUCUUUCGGGAGGACAGAACCCGGCUUAUAGGUCUGCUGU